rnacentral:rRNA from 1 species
CGGCGAGUGAAGCGGCAACAGCUCAAAUUUGAAAUCUGGCCCUUGGGUCCGAGUUGUAAUUUGUAGAGGAUGCUUUUGGUGAGGUGCCUUCCGAGUUCCCUGGAACGGGACGCCAUAGAGGGUGAGAGCCCCGUCUGGUUGGACACCGAGCCUCUGUAAAGCUCCUUCGACGAGUCGAGUAGUUUGGGAAUGCUGCUCUAAAUGGGAGGUAUAUGUCUUCUAAAGCUAAAUAUUGGCCAGAGACCGAUAGCGCACAAGUAGAGUGAUCGAAAGAUGAAAAGCACUUUGAAAAGAGGGUUAAAUAGUACGUGAAAUUGUUGAAAGGGAAGCGCUUAUGACCAGACUUGAGCCCGGUUAAUCAUCCAGCCUUCUGGCUGGUGCACUUGGCCGGCUCAGGCCAGCAUCAGUUCGGCGCGGGGGAUAAAGACUUCGGGAAUGUGGCUCCUCCGGGAGUGUUAUAGCCCGUUGUGUAAUACCCUGUACUGGACUGAGGUUCGCGCAUCUGCAAGGAUGCUGGCGUAAUGGUCAUCAGCGACCCGUCUUGAAACACGGACCAAGGAGUCGUCUUCGUAUGCGAGUGUUCGGGUGUCAAACCCCUACGCGUAAUGAAAGUGAACGCAGGUGAGAGCUUCGGCGCAUCAUCGACCGAUCCUGAUGUUCUCGGACGGAUUUGAGUAAGAGCAUACGGAGCCGGACCCGAAAGAAGGUGAACUAUGCCUGUAUAGGGUGAAGCCAGAGGAAACUCUGGUGGAGGCUCGCAGCGGUUCUGACGUGCAAAUCGAUCGUCAAAUAU